rnacentral:lncRNA from 1 species
GAAUUGUAGACUUUCCCCGAAGAACAAUCGAGCGGAGCAGUCUGACAGUUGAUCCCACUAGGAGCAGCCAGAAGAUUGUUCCCAACAUUUAUGGAAGUUUCCAUAUCUUUCAAAGAUUUGCCCUAAUCACCUAUUCCCUACUCUGAAGUCUAAGGCGCUUCCAUAUAAAAGCCGCCUCUAUCUUUAUUUUCUUUUCACGCUAGUUUUUGCAAGAGACUAA